rnacentral:pre_miRNA from 1 species
CCCACACCUAUGUGUGUAGGACCCCAAAGGAUCACCAUUAAAUUUGGCACAGAUCUCUAUAAAAAUUAUCAUUUAAGUGUGGGACUUGACUUUUCUAGAGAUCUGUGCUAAAUUUAAUGGUGAUCCUUUGGAGUCAUACACACAUAGGUGUAGG